AGAGUUUGAUCCUGGCUCAGCCUGAACGCUGGCGGCGUGGCUAAGACAUGCAAGUCGAACGGGUGUAGCAAUACACCAGUGGCGAACGGGUGAGUAAUGUAUCGCUAACGUGCCCCGGACAUUGGGAUAGCUGCUCGAAAGGGCAGGUAAUACCAGAUGAUAUGACCUGAUCGCAUGAUCGGGUCCUCAAAGGUCCGCUG
rnacentral:rRNA from 1 species